CAUCCACAUGCUAUUCAAUCAUAUGUUAUAACAUUUUACCUAAUGUCCCACUGGACAAAUUGUAAAAUUAAAAAUAAACAAUAUAAUNAAAAAAAAAAAAAAAAAAAAAUGUCAGGUUAGUACAAUCACUAAUUCCUACAUGCAGAGUUGGUACGACUACUUGCGAUUCUCUUCUGUUUUUCUCCGUUCGCCACGUUUUGUUUAUCUGAGUAUCCGAUAUGUUGAAAAUGGCUGUACAAGGUGGUGAAAUACAGAGUAUAACUAACAAAUCUGUGUGAAUCGAUUAAAUGUCAAACCCCAAACCUAUUUAAUAAUACAGGCAGUUUUCGACAAUUUGAUUAUCACAACAAGGAAAGAAAUUUUAAAUUUACAAUUCUCCAGAACCACCGGAAUACGAAUUAAACAAAGUAACUGCACCGGUUGCUCUCUUUAGCAGUGAUAAUGAUUUACUUUUAACAAAGAUAGAUGUUGAUCUUCUGAAAAGCAAACUCAAUAAUAUUGUAUUACAUGAAGAAGUAUCCAUUAAGUCCUUCUCCCAUUAUGACUUUAUAUGAGAAAGAUAUUUAACAUCAACCAUAUUUGAACUUAUAUUAGUCUUAUGAGUAAAAUCUGCAAUACUAUGUCUUGAACUACAAAAAAGGAAACAAUGAAUAUAGUUUUAACACAACUAUUAUUUUCAACAAUACUAAAUAAAAAUAUUAUUAAAAAUCAAUAACGACACUAUAAAAGGUAAUAGAUAAAAUAAUAAAUAAAAUCCUUUUCGAACUAAGAUAAAUAAAUAUCUGAUCGUAAGGCCUUUAUUUAGGGGUUAAAAAACAAACAUUAUUCAAGCAGUAUAAUUUAACAACACAGGGUUUAAAAUGCUAUUAUUAAAAUUUAUUUAUACAGUAUAUAUCAGAUAACUGAUAACAGUCAAACUACAAAACAUAAGUUAAAAUUUAUAAAAUUCCUAUUAACUUCAUAUAUAUAGUAACAUUUUGAUACAAUUUGAGAUAUAGGUAUCAAUAAAUCAUUAGCAUUACUAAAUAUUACUAUAUAUAUCAUCGAUAAAAAAGAAUGAAUGGAAUGUUUUAAUUAAUUUAUCAGUCACUCAUUACAAUAAUUCAAGAAAUAAAUUUUUCCUCCAUUUAUUUCCAUUUGAUUUUUCUUACGUUUAUAUUUUCUCGUUAUAAACAAAGCGACUACACAAAACUCUUCUUCAUUUUGGUUUCCAUUAUUAACUAUUAUUACUUUUAUCAUUUUGUUAUAAAAACAAAAUGUACUACAGAAAAUUUUCGUUCUGAUCUUGUGGUUAUAUAAUUAAUAUUUUAAUUAAUCGUCGAAUAAUUUUCGAACAUUGUUACUUAACAUUAGUAAUUACAUCAGUGUACAAACUCGUCCUUCGCCCGAAUUGAAGUUCAGUACGAUGGAAAACUGAGUUUUGAACAACAAGGCAUAUAUUGUAAAAUUCCUUUCACAUACAUAUAUACACAUGUGUAUAUGUAUAUAUAUAAAUGAUAACAAGCAUUCUCUUUUCAUUUUGAGCGCUAACAAUAGAAUAUUUAAAUAACGUAGUUCUAUAAUUUUUUAUCUUCGUAGUCUUUACUUGCAGCAGAAGCCAUCUUUGUUUAAUAUACUCUUUUUUUAAUUAUAUUCUUGGAACUGCCGUAUGGAACAUACUUUUCGACACACGAAAAAGCAUCUCAUUGUAAUGCAAAACACUACCAAAUAAUAUAGAAAAUUAAUUGUGAAUAAUUAAAAAAAAAAUUGAUUGAUUCAAUUUCGUUUCAACGACAGUGCUACAACGGAAGAUAAUGCUAUCCAUUUGAACAACAAUAAUAAUAUGUUAUAAAGUAAUUACAAUAUUUAAAAUGAUACCUAUAUUUAUUGUGUGAUAUAUAUAUAUAAUAUAUAAUAUAUAAUAUAUAUUUAUAUCAUGUUUAUAUAUAUAUAUUUAUAUUAUAAUAUAUAUAUAAACCAAAGUACAAUUAUCUUUUUAAAUUAUAUACAUGCAUAAAUAUAUAUACAUUUAGUAUACAGGGCGAGGCACUUAAAAUACAAGUAGUAGAACCAUGUCUUUUAUAAUUAAUUAAACCUCAUUUCUGUUUCUAAAGUUAGUAUUUGCAUAUUAUUAGAUUUCAAACAAUGAAGAGUAAAGUGUAAUAAUAAUUAUGAUCUUCUUUAUGUCAUUUAUGUAAUCUCUGAUAUUAAUUGAAAUUAAUUAAUUUUUUAUAUAAACACAUAAAAUGUUAACCUUAAGAUACAUUUCAAUCUUUAUUGAAUACGCGCAGACAUAUUGUAAAUUCUAUAAUUAUAUAUCUUAGAAGCUUUUAUUUUUAAAAUUUUCAUUGAUAUGUUUCUUUUUAAUACGAAUAUAUACUUAUUUUUAAAACAAUACUUUGUUAUUCAUUAGCGUAAUGCAUAUUUCAUAUGUUUAUAAUUAAAUAUAAAUAUAGCAGCCAAAUUAGUCAGAUCAUUCAAGUGAUAGAAAAUAACUUGAAUAUUAAAAUAACAGUAACUUAUACAUAUAUUCAAAAAUUAUUUAUAAAUAUAAUACUUCUAAUACAUGAUAGAAAAUAAAACAAUACUUCCUUAUUCGUUAAAGACAAAUUAUUUUGGAAUAUAUUAUCUUACUAAUGUACUUCAACUAUACUCAAAAUCAUUCCUGCCCAAAUUAACAAAAAUAAAAGUCGUGCAAGUAGUAAUGUUUUUUUAACUGAUAAUUCUUAGAGAAAAAACAAUAAAAACUACUUUUUACACAUAUUUGUGACCAUAGUUAAAUUAAAAAAUAAUUAGUUUUUGCAAUCCAAAACUAAAAUUUUUAACAAUUAGUCUACAGGUGUGCCUUCCUAACUAUUGUAUUCUUUUUUAAGAAAAUAUACAUAUGUAUACCAUUAUGUUAUCUAUUGUUUAAAAUCUAUUUAUAAUAUUAUAUUUUCUUCUUUUCUCAGUUAUGUAAAUAAUUUGUUUAUUUAAGCUUCUAAUUGUUACUAUACUAUAAAGAAAAAGAAUUGGAUUUUUGAAAUAUAAAAUAAAUAGAUAUCCAUGAGAAUACUGAUUACAAUAUUUGCAACAGCAUUAAAUUAAUGUUUAUAAAAAAAUAUUAUAUAUAUUAUUACAUAUUUACUACUAUUACUUUUGCAGUAAGUACGAUAAAAGAUAACAUUGUGAAAAGAAAGUAUUAAAUUUCAAUGUUUUAAUUUCAAUGUGAUAAAUUAAAGAAGCAAAUUUAGAAAAAAUAUUUCAUUAUUUAUAGUUUAUAGACAUAUUUGUGAUGACUCUUUUGAUAACGAAAGAAAAUAAAUAUUAUAUUUCCAAAAAUAAGAACGAUCAUAUUGUUCAACAUAAGACUUUUAUUUUGAUUCAAUUAAUUCAAUUCAAAGAUCUUAAUUGAAAUUCGUAAGAAUCAAAAUGUCUCACUCUGCAUAGUAUAGUAUACAUAUCCGGCAUGUGUGAAUUUAAGAAAAUUCACUAAUUUUUUGUAAAACUCCUUUCAUAUAAAGUGUUUUGGUAAUUUCAUUUUCGUGUGUGUCCUUAUUCUAAAUUCCUUUCGGAUUAUCUUAAUUUUUAUGUCGAAUCUUCAUAAUUCUCUAUUUUUUCCAAGACUUUCUAAGGUCUUUUCAUAUUUAUAAUCAUCACAGGAGUGAAUAACCGUCAGUAGUAAAUAAUUUUGGUACAAUGUAACAAUAAAAAAUAACUUAAAAUUGAUCAAUGUAAAAUGAUUAACAUCUUGUUUAAACGUAAAGUAGUAAUAUAAAAUUGCACAAAAUUUAGGUUGUAUUAUGUUUAUUAAUCAGAAAUUAAUUUAGAUCCUACUCGUAAUCUUGUUUAUUAGAUUUCACUAUAACAAAAGGUAUUAACAAAAUAACAGCGAGAUGAAUUUCUUUGCUUUCUUAAUCGCACAUAGGGUGAUCUAAGGUUUGCAAUGGAUACAAAAAGAUAUGGCAGUGGAAGACCUUCAUUUUAUAUCCCUAUAAAUAUCGUUAGCUUACAAAAAUGAUGAUAUUUAAUUUAUAUUAGAAAUAUGAAAAUAGUAAUAGAAACUGGAAAAUUAGUCCAUUUAGAAUACAAAAACAAUGCUUAUCAUUUUGUGCAAUUUUAACUUUUUAUUUCUACUAUCUUAUAACAAAAGAAAGUAUUGAACAAAAUGCAUCGAUAAAAAUUAAUAUAAUAUUGCUUAUAAAAGAAAGUUUAAUACCAAAAUUAUUUACUAUAUAACUUUCACAUCCUUGAACGCAAACAAAAAUAUUUGCAAAAUUGUAUAUGUAAUACUAUAAAUUGUGAUGUGAUUAAGAUUAUUUCUUCCUUCUUCCCUUAAUAUAUUGUGAUCAACAAUUUCCUUUUAGAAGUGUUUCACUAAUGUAUUAUAACAUUAAAUAUAAAGAAAAAGAAAAAUGUAGAAAACAAAAAUCAGUUUUUUUUUUUAGAAAUUUUAUACUUACGUUCGCUAUAUUUUUUUCUCAAACGUAAUUAAUCUAUAAUAUACAAUAUUUUUUUCUUAAAUAGAUAUUAGUUCGUUAGAAAUAUUUUGUUGCUAUUGUUUUUAGUGAAUACGUUCAUGCAAGCGAUAUAAUAGAUCGUACAAUGCUCGUAAAUAUUAAUAGAACGACUGCGCAACGGAAUGACAUAUUACCUACGAGAUUAAUCGAAGCAGUCAGGUACAUUUUCCAUUUUAAUUAAUUUCUCUUCUAAAAAUAGCUGAAAAUAAUACCCAUUAAUAACGCUUAAAUUGCAGCACCAUGUGAAAGAAGAGUUCAACACGAUCAUAUAUAUGUGACGCAAAUUAAAUACUUUUUUCUUCCAAUACUUAAUACAAGGAUUCUGUAAACUUUAACUUCGUUACAGGUUUCAAAUCUCUUGCAAUCUACAAAAUUUAUAUUAGCUAUUAAUUAGAGGCAAUCUCGUAAUAUUAAAUAAGCCUUAUU